AUACGGAGGAUGCGAGCGUUAUCCGGAUUUAUUGGGUUUAAAGGGAGCGUAGGUGGGAUAUUAAGUCAGCUGUGAAAGUUUGGGGCUCAACCUUAAAAUUGCAGUUGAUACUGGUUUCCUUGAGUGCAGUUGAGGCAGGCGGAAUUCGUGGUGUAGCGGGGAAAUGCUUAGAUAUCACGAAGAACUCCGAUUGCGAAGGCAGCCUGCUAAGCUGCAACUGACAUUGAGGCUCGAAAGUGUGGGUAUCAAACAGGAUUAGAUACCCUGGUAGUCCACACGGUAAACGAUGAAUACUCGCUGUUUGCGAUAUACGGCAAGCGGCCAAGCGAAAGCGUUAAGUAUUCCACCUGGGGAGUACGCCGGCAACGGUGAAACUUAAAGGAAUUGACGGGG
rnacentral:rRNA from 1 species